GACAGAGGUGCCAAGCGUUAGGCGGAAUCACUGGGCUUAAAGCGUGUGUAGGCGGAUGGCUAAGUGUCUUGUGAAAUCCCACGGCUCAACCGUGGAACUGCUCGACAUACUGGACAUCUUGAGCAACCUAGGGGCGAGCGGAACAAACGGUGGAGCGGUGAAAUGCGUAGAUAUCGUUUGGAACGCCAAUGGUGAAAACAGCUCGCUGGGGGUUUGCUGACGCUGAGACACGAAAGCCAGGGGAGCAAACGGG
rnacentral:rRNA from 1 species